rnacentral:misc_RNA from 1 species
UUUCCGUAGGUGAACCUGCGGAAGGAUCAUUAUUGAGUUAGGGUCUUUACGGCCCGACCUCCAACCCUUUGUUUAACCUACCGUGUUGCUUUGGCAGGCCCGCCUAGAGAUGGGCCGCCGGGGACUCCUGAGUCUCUGGUCAGUGUCUGUCAGUAGCCUUUCCAAAUUCAUUUUAUAACCAUGUCUGAAUUUACAAUAAAAAAUAAAAAUAAAACUUUCAACAACGGAUCUCUUGGUUCUG